GAUGAACGCUGACAGAAUGCUUAACACAUGCAAGUCGACUCGAGUCUUCGGACUUGGGUGGCGCACGGGUGAGUAACGCGUAAAGAACUUGCCUCUUAGACCGGGACAACAUCUGGAAGCGGAUGCUAAUACCGGAUAUUAUGGUUUUUUCGCAUGGAGGAAUCAUGAAAGCUAGAUGCGCUAAGAGAGAGCUUUGCGUCCCAUUAGCUGGUUGGUGAGGUAACGGCCCACCAAGGCAAUGAUGGGUAGCCGGCCUGAGAGGGUGAACGGCCACAAGGGGACUGAGACACGGCCCUUACUCCUACGGGAGGCAGCAGUGGGGAAUAUUGGACAAUGGACCACAAGUCUGAUCCAGCAAUUCUGUGUGCACGAUGACGUUUUUCGGAAUGUAAAGUGCUUUCAGUCGGGAAGAAGUCAGUGACGGUACCGACAGAAGAAGCGACGGCUAAAUACGUGCCAGCAGCCGCGGUAAUACGUACGUCGCAAGCGUUAUCCGGAUUUAUUGGGCGUAAAGCGCGUCUAGGCGGCAAGGAAAGUCUGAUGUGAAAAUGCGGAGCUCAACUCCGUAUGGCGUUGGAAACUGCCUUACUAGAGUACUGGAGAGGUAGGCGGAACUACAAGUGUAGAGGUGAAAUUCGUGGAUAUUUGUAGGAAUGCCGAUGGGGAAGCCAGCCUACUGGACAGAUACUGACGCUAAAGCGCGAAAGCGUGGGUAGCAAACAGG
rnacentral:rRNA from 1 species